GCGGGUGUCGUAUAACGGCUAUUAUUCGAGGUUUCCAACCUUGAGACGCGGGUUCGAUUCCCGCCACCCGCUCCA
rnacentral:tRNA from 1 species